GACGAACGCUGGCGGCAUGCCUAAUACAUGCAAGUCGAGCGCGGGAAGCAGGCAGAUCCCUUCGGGGUGACGCCUGUGGAACGAGCGGCGGAUGGGUGAGUAACACGUGGGCAACCUGCCUGUAAGACUGGGAUAACUCCGGGAAACCGGGGCUAAUACCGGAUAAUUCUUUUUACCGCCUGGUAAGAAGAUAAAAGAUGGCGCAAGCUAUCACUUGCAGAUGGGCCCGCGUCGCAUUAGCUAGUUGGUGGGAUAACGGCCUACCAAGGCGACGAUGCGUAGCCGACCUGAGAGGGUGAUCGGCCACACUGGGACUGAGACACGGCCCAGACUCCUACGGGAGGCAGCAGUAGGGAAUCUUCCGCAAUGGACGAAAGUCUGACGGAGCAAUGCCGCGUGAGUGAUGAAUGUCUUCGGAUUGUAAAACUCUGUUGUUAGGGAAGAACACGUACCGUUCGAAUAGGGCGGUACCUUGACGGUACCUAACCAGAAAGCCCCGGCUAACUACGUGCCAGCAGCCGCCGUAACAC
rnacentral:rRNA from 1 species